rnacentral:rRNA from 1 species
GACGAACGCUGGCGGCGUGCCUAAUACAUGCAAGUUGAGCGCUGAAGGUUGGUACUUGUACCAACUGGAUGAGCAGCGAACGGGUGAGUAACGCGUGGGGAAUCUGCCUUUGAGCGGGGGACAACAUUUGGAAACGAAUGCUAAUACCGCAUAAAAACUUUAAACACAAGUUUUAAGUUUGAAAGAUGCAAUUGCAUCACUCAAAGAUGUUCCCGCGUUGUAUUAGCUAGUUGGUGAGGUAAAGGCUCACCAAGGCGAUGAUACAUAGCCGACCUGAGAGGGUGAUCGGCCACAUUGGGACUGAGACACGGCCCAAACUCCUACGGGAGGCAGCAGUAGGGAAUCUUCGGCAAUGGACGAAAGUCUGACCGAGCAACGCCGCGUGAGUGAAGAAGGUUUUCGGAUCGUAAAACUCUGUUGGUAGAGAAGAACGUUGGUGAGAGUGGAAAGCUCAUCAAGUGACGGUAACUACCCAGAAAGGGACGGCUAACUACGUG